AGCUGGGACCACAGGCCUGCACCACCACGCCCAGCUAAUUUUCCUAUUUAUUUUUAGAGAUAGGACUAUGUUGGACUAUGUUGUCCGGGCUAGUCUCUAACUCCCUGCCUCAAGCAAUCCUCCCAGCUCAGCCUCCCCAAAUCCUGGAAUUACAGGCCUGAGUCACUGUGUCCACCACCACUUUAGGCCCUUUACAUCAGUCAGCUCUGGCUGCAUAACAAACAGCCCCAAAACCUCAGCAGCAGAAAACAGUAUGUAUUUCUUGUAUCCUGCUGAUCUAGUCUGGGUUCCCUGGACUGGUCCCAAGCUAUGGGUGAGGUUCAAGCCUAUGGCUAGACAGGGCUGUUCUUCUCAAGGCAAAAAAAGAGGAGGACAAGAAGGCAAGCCCCACCAUGAAGUGCACCUCAAGCCUCUGCCCUCACCACGUCCUCCACAGCCCACUGGCCAAAGCAAGUCUCUUGGCAGAGCCCAAAGUCAAGAUGUAGACAAGUGAACGGUUGUGAAUGAUAAUAUUACCUACCACACCCCACAACAUGUGCAGAUCCCUGAAUCUGUUGCUCUAGUUCUCAUCAAAGCAUAAGCUUGCUGACUGAGUUUGCAACGGUUAAGACCAGGCAUGAUCAGCUUUUUGGGAAGAAAGUCCUGACUGCUCUCCCGGAGGGUGUCACUCUAGUCUGGCCUCUUGCAAGGAUAGAGAUGCUGUGGUCAGCAACUCCCAACCUCAGUCUUCACCAGCACGUUGUUCCAUUCAAUCCAUGACAUUCCCUGGGAACAUCACAGUGACAGACCUCACAAUGGCAAUGAAUAAUUAGAUUCCUACCGCCUCCCAUGGCCACAGCCUAAUGGGGGAGACAGGGAAGCCCACUCUCCAUGCAGGAACAAAAUCAGUUCCGGAACAAAGACACAGCCAUCUUCCCCAGAGCCUUAAGGACAGGAAAUUGUGUGUAGGGCCCGACCAUCUUGACCGAAGCAUGCCGUUACCAUGGCACCCAACGCCACAUCUGGCACCACAUGAACAUGCUCCUCUGACUGCGAACAGAUGGAUGGAUUUCUUUUCCUGCAGAAUGAACACAUGAGCUCUAUUUCAUGAUGACAAUCACCCAGGUGGUUUUUGACAAGUCCUAAGUUGGGUCCCCAGAUGCAUUUUGUACCAAAGACCCUGGCUACAUGCCUCACGGCCUGAAGGCCUAAUGUGCUCUCUGUCCCCAUUUGGCCACUGUCUGGGUGUGGGGCCCAGAGCAAGCCUCAGCCUAAGUGAAAUGAGGAGAUUACACUAGACCAGGGUGUUUUCAAACUUGAGUGGGUCUUAAGAAUCAUCACGAAAGCUUGUGAAAUGCAAAUUCCUGGACUCCACCUCCAGAUAUUCUGAUUCUAUAGGUCUGGAAUGAGGACAGAGAAUCUGCAUUUCUAAUAAGCUGUCAGGUGUGGCUACUGGUUUACAGAUCGCUCUGGACUCCAGCCCCAGACCCCUUCUUACCUGCAUCGGACAGAAAUCUCUUCCACCUCUUCUGGGGCUCGAGCCAGCUGCAUCAGGCAGGAGUGGCUGCAGUGCCAGAGGGAACAUUGGGCCACAUUCCCAACACUGGCUGGUGGGCCUAGGGCCCGCCAUGGGGGAGCUGGGUUUGAGCCAGUCUGUGCGUUGGAAUCAUACUGAAUUCAUGGACAGGACCCAUAGGCCCUUGCCACCUGCACAGCCUCACCUCAGACCACACCUCCUGCCCACCACGGGCUGCCGGGUCCCUUCUGCGUAAACCUGGCCCUCUGACACUCAUGGCCACCUCCCCAGGAAGACUCCCAGACCCUUAGGGCCCUGAUUCGUGUGUUGUAUCAGCCCCUGCAUCAUUCCCAUGGCAGCAAUGCUGCCAUACCGUGGUGACCCUGGCAGUGUGCCGCUCAGAUCUGCCUUCCGUAGCCAACUGCCAUGGGAGUGUCAUGAGCUUAUGGCCCCUGGAGGCAGCACCUGGGACGUGCAGGGGACCAGGCCCUGGCCAUUACUGCCCUACCCAGCACUUCGCUAGAGCUCCCCGUGAGCCUGGAUGGGAUUUUCUCAGUGAUCCCUCCCCUUCUCCUCCCACAGUUACCAGCCUUGCAUCACGGCCCAAAGGUGCUCCCUCCCCACCCUUGUGCCCUCUGCCUGUAUCUUGCACAGGUGUUGCCUUUCAUAGACCUUUUGCACAUCCACCUGUCCUGGCAUCUGCUUCCCAGACAACCAAACUGACACAAGUAACCAAGUUAGUAACUCUCUGAUGAGUUUCCUCAAGUCGUCCCCUCCAUAGACUGUGAGCUCUGUGAGGGCAGGGCCUGCAUCCUUCUCGCUCAUCGCUGAACUCCCAGCACCUCGCACAGAGCUCCGCAGGCCGUGUGUGCCAACAACCACCUGCCGCAUAAUCCAGCCGGUUAAUGAGGACACCGGGGGAGGAGGCAGGGGGCAGCAGACCGUGGGCCUCACAGGCUUCGUACGGACCUGGAUUCAGAUGCCGACUCCCUCACUUAUAAGAUAGAUGAACUUGGACAAGUUUGUGAACACUCUGAACCUCAGUUUCUUCAUCUGUAAACUGAGGAUGAUGAUACUGACCUUGCAGAAUUGUUGUAAAGACUCAAUAAAUGGGUAUAAAGUA